CCUACGGGAGGCAGCAGUGGGGAAUUUUGCGCAAUGGGCGAAAGCCUGACGCAGCAACGCCGCGUGAGUGAUGAAGGCCUUCGGGUCGUAAAGCUCUGUCAGGGGGAAAGAAGUGUAUUAUGGUUAAUACCCAUGAUACUUGACGGUACCCCCAAAGGAAGCACCGGCUAACUCCGUGCCAGCAGCCGCGGUAAUACGGAGGGUGCGAGCGUUGUUCGGAAUUAUUGGGCGUAAAGCGCGUGUAGGCGGUUUAUUAAGUCUGAUGUGAAAGCCCCGGGCUCAACCUGGGAAGUGCAUUGGAAACUGGUAGACUUGAAUACGGGAGAGGGCAGUGGAAUUCCUGGUGUAGGAGUGAAAUCCGUAGAUAUCAGGAGGAACACCGGUGGCGAAGGCGGCUGCCUGGACCGAUAUUGACGCUGAGACGCGAAAGCGUGGGUAGCAAACAGGCUUAGAUACCCCGGUAGUC
rnacentral:rRNA from 1 species